UAUCCAUGUUCUUACAAAUGAUCACCUUAAAUUAAAAAAAAAAAUUGCUAAAACAACAAUCACAGAAAAAGAAAGUUAAUACAUCAAAUUACUGCCAAAAUUAUUUUAACAUCACCCUUUCCAGAGGCAAAGCUUGUUCAGAAUCAUCCAGUGGGGAAUAUUUUCCCACAAAAUUUAACUUGGAAAGAUCCAGCCUAAAAUAACUCUAUUUUAAACGUUAUUUCAACAUAUUUUAACGAAGCCCUAUGAAUUAUGAAAAUAGCCUUCUGAUAAUACUAAUAAUAUGCCUGAAUAAGACCUUGUAACUUGUUGCUUGCUAAACAACUUCUUUUCAGAUGCUUCACAAUUGAUAUUUGAUAUAGGUGAAGCAGAAAUCAUCUCGAGGAAAUAGCACUGAACAGUAAUGCCCUGAAACACAGCAUUUGUUGUCUCCAAGCCACUGUUAAGCUAAGCUUUCUGGCCCCCAGAUCUGCACCUGACCUUUACCACCUCCUCAUCAUCCACUCUGGUCUGCAUCCUCUUGACCGCGUCUGAGUCUCCUUUGGGGCUGGAUGUCUGCUUCAGCAUUAGGAAAUGGACACAUCUAUAGAAUCUCUCAUGGCAACACACCAAGUAUUGUAAACUUCGUCCUUUCAACAAGUUAUAUUACUAAAAAUCGACAAACUGAACUCACAUGAAUGUGUACUUACAGAGUUGUGGCUCCUGAUUCUAUUUAAGGAUCUUAACUUCACUCUCACAGAUGGACCCACCUGUGGCUACGUUUACACACUAUGAUCCUAGCUAUUUUUCCUAGUGUUGGAAUGUUGGUCUGAGAUAUGGAAAUGACAGACCAUUCAUUGAGAAGUGCAGAAAAAAAGGAGAGCUACACAAUUUACCCAAGAGGUAUUUAUAAUCAUUGGGUAACAUCAAAAUCGGCAAUUAUGUAAAUUGGAAACCUUGGUUUUUAUUCAGUGGAGCUGUAUUAAAUCUUCAUUGGUACAGGAGAAAAGUGAGAGUUUAAUUUUAUACAUUCUUUCGAAUUCAAUUUAUGAUCACAUAAAUGUGCUUUUCCAUAUUAACUUUCUCAUAAAGAGCACAAUUUUCACUUUGAGGAAAAAUAGUAUUUCAGUGAACAAAUUCAAGAGCCCUUUAUAUCUGGCUUCAGUUAUGGGAAAAUAAAUCUAGAAGUCCUGACUGUGUUGAUUAAACUCUUAUAACUUUACAAGAUUAGAGCAAGAGUCUUUGAAAAUAAAAAGUCUUGAUUGAUAAUAAUGUUGAAAAUAUUAUUGUUAAAAACAAGGUCAUCCAUAUGUAUGAUUAAAGGUGGAAAGAGUUUGAAAUUCACCUCCAAUUUCUCAGUGAAGUAUGAAAGACAGCCAGAGAGUUUGUUCAUAAUAUUUGCAAGUAGAUUUUUAAAAAUUUAGACUUGAUACGUAAUCUAAAACAAAAUAUUCUCAAUCUUAUGCUUAACCUCAUGCCAUAAAGUGAAAAUGACGCUUUGAACUACCCUGGAUAAAUUUUAGAAUCAUUUUAUUGAAUAAAUUACUGGAAUAGAAAAUGUCCUAUAUCUACUAUUGCUUGCUUUUUUACUGCACCCUGCCCCAUCCCACU